rnacentral:misc_RNA from 1 species
GAUGAAGAACGCAGCGAAAUGCGAUACGUAAUGUGAAUUGCAGAAUUCAGUGAAUCAUCGAAUCUUUGAACGCAUAUUGCGCUCUCUGGUAUUCCGGAGAGCAUGCUUGUUUGAGUAUCAGUAAACACCUCAACUCCCUUUUCUUUUUUGAAAUUGGAGCUGGACUUGAGUGAUCCCAACGCUUUUCCUCACCGAAAAGUGGCGGGUUACUUGAAAUGCAGGUGCAGCUGGACUUUUCUCUGAGCUAUAAGCAUAUCUAUUUAGUCUGCCUAAAAAACAGAUUAUUACCUUUGCUGCAGCUAACAUAAAGGAGAUUAGUUCUUGUGCUGACUGAUGCAGGAUUCACAAAGACGGCUUCGGCCGACUUUGUAAACUCGAUCUCAAAUCAAGUAAGACUACCCGCUGAACUUAAGCAUAUCAAUAAGCGGAGGA